rnacentral:rRNA from 1 species
UACGUAGGGUGCAAGCGUUGUCCGGAAUUAUUGGGCGUAAAGAGCUCGUAGGCGGUCUGUCGCGUCGGCUGUGAAAACCCGGAGCUCAACUCCGGGCCUGCAGUCGAUACGGGCAAGCUGGAGUACUGCAGGGGAGACUGGAAUUCCUGGUGUAGCGGUGAAAUGCGCAGAUAUCAGGAGGAACACCGGUGGCGAAGGCGGGUCUCUGGGCAGUAACUGACGCUGAGGAGCGAAGGCGUGGGGAGCGAACAGG